GUGCUUCCUUUCAGCCGCGUGCAUUAGAGGGAUGACAGAGCGCAACAGAAAGCACAGACGGAUGGGAUGUGUGAACUCAUGUUCACGCACGCAGGUCGGCAGAGUGUGUGUGAGUGUGUGUGGGUGUGGGUGUGGGUGUGUGUUCGAGAGCUGGCUCGUCAACUAUCCCUGUCGAUUGAUGCUAUUAGAUGUUGAGAAACAGUUGGGUGUGAGCUAUAAUUGAGCUGACACUAAUAAUGAAAGCAGAUACUGUCUGGAAGCCUUUGGCAAUAUGCUAAAGAUAUUGAUGCCUCUAAUAAUUCAGGGACUCGACAGAGUGAGGAAGGAUUUUUUUUUUCUCUCACCUUUUAGAUCUUGCUCCGGAAACAGGGAAAUAAGAUAUAAAACCACUUUUGGAUUAAUCUUUUAAAGCUUUUUCUUUUUUUUAUUCCUUUUUCUCUCCGCGGUACCAAGUCAUUAGGAAGCACGGCCAAAUGCACACAGAAGCCCAGACCGUAUGAAUGACAGCAUGGCAGAGUUUGUGGGAGAAUGCCCAUCAUUUUUACUAGUUAGCAGCAGACGGCUAACAUGCCAGCCCUGUUUGAUUUGACAGCACAGGUGGUUGGCCUUGCCGCACAUGUUUUGUUUCCAUGCUAUCAUUCACUGGGGAUUGAGGGAGACCAAUGUUCAGGGUUGUAAGUUUGUGUUGAGCUUUGGUCAAGGACUUCCAUAAUGACCAAGUCAACCUUGUGACUCCUGUCAGAGAGCUGAAUCCCUUGGGACGUGUGCAUGUUUGUGUGUGUAUGCAUGUAGAGACGGGGGGGGGGGGGGGUUGGCUGACCCCUGAACCUGAAGAUGAGGUAGAUCAUUUAAAGGCUUGCCUGUCGAAGGGGAAAUGCUUUAAUUGUGGUCUUUUGCUGGGAACCUUCCAGUCCUAAUAAACAGGAAACUUGUUUCUUUUUGCUGAGUUUUAAACGACUCCAUAAUUUGAAAACAUCUCAUCGUUUCGAAUCAUUUCACUUAUUUAAUGGGACAGAACCCAGUGAAGAUGUGAACAGUCUGACUGGGAAGUUUGAUUUGAUGGAGCCCUAAAAAAAAUGGACGAAUCUGAGUCGCAGCUCAGCGGCGAUGCCAAAUGGAAAGAGACUGGGACUCGUGGCUGAGAGGUUGUUCUGCCCAUGCUGCACACAGCUCCGGUCUCCCUGAGUUCGCUGGUCGUGAGGCUAACGCAAGCCGACGAAAAGGAUAGGGUUUUCUCUUCCCGUGACCGCACUCAACAUCCUCACACAUCCUCAGCCCUUUACAACUGAGCCGUUCUCCCUCAGCAUGUAAUAUAUGGAUGUUUAUAUUACGUGAGAACAGGACACAAUAUUUGAAAAGCUCUCGAACAAUAACCCCAUAGCCUCCAUGCCCCCCCCUUGAGACACAUUCCUGUUUGCUAGCUAUUGCCCUGUAAGCUGUUUUUGUUGUCAUAUUGCUAUUGUUAUUAUCAUUAUUGUAGGGAAAGGAUGAGAUGACUAAUCAGAAUAUUAUUUCAGCAUUGAGGCACAACAGACUAUUACAGCUGCACCUCAACCAAAUAUGACCCGGGGAGAAGGAGAAGAAGAAGAAGAAGAAGAAGAAAAAAAAAAAUUCCUGGCCUCACCAGCCAAUACACUUUCGCCUUCAAAACACACGCACACACUCCUACACACAAACACACGUUCAGAGCAACACAUUACAAGCCGUAGCACGGAAUAGA